rnacentral:rRNA from 1 species
UACAUGUGGGGCAAGCGUUGUUCGGAAUUACUGGGCAUAAAGGGUGCGUAGGUGGUUUGUUAAGUCAGGGGUGAAAUCCCGCGGCCCAACCGUGGAACUGCCUUUGAUACUGGCGAACUUGAGUGCGUGAGGGGUAGGGGGAACGAGCAGUGUAGCGGUGAAAUGCGUAGAUAUUGCUCGGAAAGCCAGAGCCGAAGGGGCCCUACUGGUGCGCAACUGACACUGAGGCACGAAAGCGUGGGGAGCAAACAGG